AAUAACCUGCCUAGAGUAUGAUCUUAGCAUACCCUAGCAAGAUGAACAUACUGGAAGUUCUGAAGAGAAAUUUAUUUUUUUAUAAUUAGUAGAAAAAAGAGAUAAAUUGCCUCAUUGUUAGAUUUAUAAUGAUGUACAUUUUGAAUUAUGGGGGAUAAAAACAGGUUUCAAUUUCAUUGUAAUAAAUUGAAUGCAUUCAGUAUUUGUGAAUUUGAAUUGUGUGAUCAUGAGUAGAUGUGCUGUAUAGCACCUUACCUUCAAACCUCUCAGCCUAUUAAUUCUCAAAUAUGAUUUUUUAGCUUAUUGCUUUUUAAAAUUAAUCUGUUAAUCUUUUUUCCUUUUUUUUUUUUUUAAGGCACGAUCUCACUUUGUCACUCAGGGUGGAGUGUGGUGGCGUGAUCGCAGCUAACUGCAGCCUUGACCUCUCAGGCUAAAGCGAUCCUCUUACCAAGACCACAGAGACAGCCCCACUCUAUACCCUGGGGGAAGAAAUACAGAUAUUGAGAAGCUUCCAUGAAAACCCAAGAGGACUGAGUUCAGAAAACUUGCAGAUAGCUGAACAAAUGAAGGUCCCUGGAGAAUGGCGCACCCAAGGAGGGCAUAGAAGCUUCAUGUCUUAUCCCCUAUACCUCACCCGUAUCCUUUGUAAUAUCCUCUAUAAUAAACUGGUGAAAGUAAGUAAGUGUUUCCCUGAGUUCUGUGAGCCAGCUAAUUAAUCAAACCCAAACAGGUGGCCUUGGGAACCCCAACUCGAAGCUGGUUGGUCAGAAGUUCUGGAGGCUCAGACUUGUGACUGGUGUCUGGGUUGUUGGGUGUAGUCUUGGGUACUGAGCACUUCAACCUGU
rnacentral:lncRNA from 1 species